CUUUUUUUUUUUUUUUUUGUGUGGUUGACCGUACCGUGUGGUAGGGUUUAAUUAUUCUAGGGUUACUCCAUUUGUUGGCGCUUUUUCACGGGAUUACCUAUUUCGGGGUUACUCGAUCGGUCAGAGGUUAUUUAUUCUAAAUUUACCCAAUUAGUUAGUGCGUUUUUGUGUGAAAGUAACCUAUAACUGACCGAGCAACCCUAAAUAAGCAACCCUUAAUCAAGUAAAUACUCCGUACAAAAUAAUUAGCGACACGAUUUGAUUAGAUACAUAUAAAAAUUUGUGAAUUAAAAAAAUACCCUCUUACCAAAUUUGCCCUAAUUUACACACAUUUUAAUAUUUUAUUUAUACACCCCUGAUUCCUCUCCCCCCCAAUUUUCCUACCAAAUCAAAACAAUCUAGAAAAUAGAAAUCAAUCAAUAAUGGAAGAAAACCUAGAAGAACCCCAAAAUCAAAGGAAGAAAAGCUCAAUUGUAAUAGAAAUCCCAUCAUAUCAAGAAGUUCUUCAGAAUAAUCAACUUAAAUCAACACAACCUUCUCUUUUCACCCCUUCUCAAUCCUUCACUCAAGCUUUUGCUUCCAUUAAAAAAUCCGAAUUCUACACUCCUCCUCUUGCUGCUGCUCCCCCUCCUUCUACCUCUAAUUCUCAAUCUCUCUCUUCAUCAAAUGCUUCUUCUUCGGCUUCGGCUGUGCCCUCUUCUUCUGGGCAAACUGGGGUUUCGAGUAAUAAUUUUGUUCAGAAGAGUAAUGCCAUCAUUGUCAGCCACAGGCAGAAAGGAAACCCUCUGCUCAAGCACAUCCGAAAUGUAAGGUGGAAUUUUGCAGAAGUUAUUCCUGACUAUGUUCUGGGGCAAAAUUCUUGUGGCCUUUAUUUAAGUCUCCGCUAUCACCUGCUUCAUCCAGACUAUCUUUAUUUUCGUAUAAGAGAACUACAGAAGAACUUCAGACUUCGUGUGGUGCUAUGUCAUGUUGAUGUGGAGGAUGUAGUCAAGCCUUUGCUUGAAGUCACAAGAACUUGUCUGCUUCAUGAUUGCACUCUUCUCUGCGCUUGGAGCUUGGAAGAAUGUGGUCGAUAUUUAGAAACGAUUAAAGUCUAUGAGAACAAGCCAGCUGAUAUCAUUCAAGGACAUAUGGACUCUGAUUAUUUAUCAAGGUUGAAUCAUGCCCUUACUGCUGUUCGACAUGUUAACAAAACUGAUGUAGUCACUCUUGGUUCCACAUUUGGGUCUCUUUCUCAUAUCAUGGAUGCUUCUAUGGAAGAUCUAGCCCGUUGUCCUGGCAUUGGGGAGCGUAAGGUUAAACGUUUGUAUGACACCUUUCAUGAACCUUUCAAACGUGUGGUGCCAAACCGCUCUGAAGCCCCUGUGCAGAAUGAUCCAACUCCAACCUCCUUAGAAAGCGAACCACCAGGUGUUGAGAAGAAAUCAGAAGACACUAGCAAGCGUCAGAAAAAAGACCCAGAAGUGAUCUUACAAUCAGCUUUGUCUGCAGCCUUUGCAAACUAUUCAGAUAAACUUGGAAAGAAAAGCACUGCAUCAGAUAAGGAAAGUGGUGAGAGCUCAAACAUCCAAAAAGAAUCGGAAGCUGAUUCAGAAAUUUGAAGGACUAAAAACAUUGUUAGGUUGUAUUCAUUCAAGAUUCUUUUGGUGAAACGAUAGGUACAUGGAUUGGAAGCUAUACUGUGAGUCUAAUGCUGUUAUCUUGAAUUAUUCCUGGUGUUGAAAUGCAUGGUCAUGCUGCUCUUUGAACUGUGUGCUCCUCUUCAUAAUAUACUCUGCAAUGUGAAUCUUUCCAAUAAUCCUGAUUUUGGCCGUGUUCAUGUAUUUGCAUGCCAAUCUUAAUCUUGAUCAUUGGCUUGUAGGAGAAAAAACGAAGUGCAGAAAUCUCCAUCAGAUUAAAAAGAAUGUAAACCAAUUUUUCCCUAGAGAAGUCAUUUACUAUGACAAAGACGGCCUCUGAGACCUUGGACUGACGAAAUUAGUGAGAUAUCUGGAUGAACUUGAAGGAGCAGAUGAAAGAUUUUUCACCAAAGGGAUUAAAGACUGCACAACAUCCGUCAUCAAAGGUCUGUAAUCUGGCUCUACUUGUACACAAACAGCAGCAAUCGCUGCAAUCUGUAGAAAAAACGAUGAAGUAGGAUCAUUUAAUUAGCUUUGCUGUCGCAUAAUCAUUAUUUUAAGCUAAUGAAACAUAUUCUCUGACCUGAA